rnacentral:rRNA from 1 species
GCAAUCCUACGGGACGCAGCAGUGAGGAAUAUUGGUCAAUGGGCGGAAGCCUGAACCAGCCACGUCGCGUGAGGGAAUAAGGCCCUACGGGUCGUAAACCUCUUUUGCCGGGGAGCAAAUUCCGCCACGCGUGGCGGAGUCGAGAGUACCCGAAGAAAAAGCAUCGGCUAACUCCGUGCCAGCAGCCGCGGUAAUACGGAGGAUGCGAGCGUUAUCCGGAUUUAUUGGGUUUAAAGGGUGCGUAGGCGGACUGUCAAGUCAGCGGUAAAAUACGGGGGCUCAACCUCCGCCCGCCGUUGAAACUG